rnacentral:lncRNA from 1 species
GCGUGUGUGGCAAUGAGUGAGAUCAUUGUAUUGAUUGAUUACUAGGUUGUUAGAAAUGAAUGGAAGUGUGUGUAGAAAUUACAGAUGGUGAUAGGAAAUGAUAAAAAUGCAUUAACUGAUUGUAGUGGCUAGUCGGUCCUAGUUCCGCAUAGAGUAGUAUAGAGUGUCAUGCGGGCAGGCUGGUCUAGAGUCACUUCACUGAGUAACUUGUUGCUCACCCUCCCUCCAUUUCCAUUUUUCCCUGUGCGCAGAACUGUAAGUAGAAGUAUAUGGAUGUGGGUGUGACGGUAUUUCAAAGAAGGUUAUGCGCUCGUCUCUCGGGACCAGUAACGGGACACGUAGGGUUGUCUAAAUGAGUAGACACGUGUCCAUAACGCCCCUUCAAUAACCCCGGUCGGACGCCGGGGGAUCGGGCUGUUACAAUUGGUAUCAGAGCGGGUUAAGAUCCCUUAGUUCUGUCCUAAGGGAUCGGCAUUUCCGACGUUUUCAAAAAAAAAAAAAAAAAAAACUUGUUUUCACUAAAAGAAAAGAGCGUGUGAAAGUUUUGAUUUUUCUGAAAGUUGUGAACGAUUUCAAAACCAUCCACUAUAUCUAUGCUUCUAUUAUGGUUCUGAUCGGAUGUCUACUUGAAGGAUGUCUUCGAUAAUUACGGGUAUCGUGGACCUGCAUGGUGGAACCCGAACUACACUCGGACUCAGCGCAUCAUAAAGAGAAAGGUGGUACCCCAUCGGUGACGCCCAUUAAUGAAGUUCCAUCGCCAGACACAUGAGUUGGAGUGGUUGGAGGAAAGCCAGAGAUGGAAACCCGACUAAUGUAACUACCGAGAGCGUGAAGGUUGUGGCGGAUAUCAUGGGUUUGGAGGAACAUUAGAGGUGCAGUGAAACAAGUUGAGGUCAUAAGUCAAUGAAGGUAUUUCCCGAGGAAGGACAUAUAUCUAAUAGAGGGCUAGUUCUAGGAUAUCCGCCAAAGAGACAUGAUUGUAAGGGAAUACAAUAAGGAUGUAACCCCCUAAGAAGAUUUGUCGGGCACUCUCUAAGGGGGCGAGAACUGAUUCACCGCUUCCUGAAGGAAAUGAGAACCGAUCUGAAGAAUAGUUGUAACGUACAAGAUUACUGGGAUCAUGAGCUAAUCUAGAAGGGUGCAGAGCUAUAGUUUUGGUUGUAAGAAGAUCAUAGGCUAACCAAGCAUCACAUACUCAGAGCCCAAGGGGAACUUGCGACAUCACCAUUACCACAAGGCGGUUUCG